GACGUAGGGCGCGAGCGUUAUCCGGAAUUAUUGGGCGUAAAGAGCUCGUAGGCGGUUUGUCGCGUCUGCUGUGAAAACCGGAGGCUCAACCUCCGGCCUGCAGUGGGUACGGGCAAACUAGAGUGCGGUAGGGGAGAUUGGAAUUCCUGGUGUAGCGGUGGAAUGCGCAGAUAUCAGGAGGAACACCGGUGGCGAAGGCGGCAUCCCUGGACUAACACUGACGCUGAGGAGCGAAAGCCAGGGGAGCAAACGGG
rnacentral:rRNA from 1 species